rnacentral:rRNA from 1 species
UCCCUGAGAGUCCUGAAGGAACGUUGAAGACGACGACGUUGAUAGGCCGGGUGUGUAAGCGCAGCGAUGCGUUGAGCUAACCGGUACUAAUGAACCGUGAGGCUUAACCUUACAACGCCGAAGRUGUU